AUUGAACGCUGGCGGCAGGCUUAACACAUGCAAGUCGAACGGUAGCAGGAGAAAGCCUGCUUUCUUGCUGACGAGUGGCGGACGGGUGAGUAAUGCUUGGGAAUCUGGCUUAUGGAGGGGGAUAACUACGGGAAACUGUAGCUAAUACCGCGUAAUAUCUUCGGAUUAAAGAAUGGGACUUUUAGCCAUUCGCCAUAAGAUGAGCCCAAGUGGGAUUAGGUAGUUGGUGGGGUAAAGGCCUACCAAGCCGACGAUCUCUAGCUGGUCUGAGAGGAUGACCAGCCACACUGGAACUGAGACACGGUCCAGACUCCUACGGGAGGCAGCAGUGGGGAAUAUUGCGCAAUGGGGGCAACCCUGACGCAGCCAUGCCGCGUGAAUGAAGAAGGCCUUCGGGUUGUAAAGUUCUUUCGGUGGUGAGGAAGGCUAAUAUGUUAAUAGCAUAUUAGAUUGACGCUAGCCACAGAAGAAGCACCGGCUAACUCCGUG
rnacentral:rRNA from 1 species